rnacentral:rRNA from 1 species
GGUUAAGCGACUAAGCGUACACGGUGGAUGCCCUGGCAGUCAGAGGCGAUGAAGGACGUGCUAAUCUGCGAUAAGCGUCGGUGAGGUGAUAUGAACCGUUAUAACCGGCGAUUUCCGAAUGGGGAAACCCAGUGUGUUUCGACACACUAUCAUUAACUGAAUCCAUAGGUUAAUGAGGCGAACCGGGGGAACUGAAACAUCUAAGUACCCCGAGGAAAAGAAAUCAACCGAGAUUCCCCCAGUAGCGGCGAGCGAACGGGGAGGAGCCCAGAGCCUGAAUCAGUGUGUGUGUUAGUGGAAGCGUCUGGAAAGGCGUGCGAUACAGGGUGACAGCCCCGUACACAAAAAUGCACAUAUUGUGAGCUCGAUGAGUAGGGCGGGACACGUGGUAUCCUGUCUGAAUAUGGGGGGACCAUCCUCCAAGGCUAAAUACUCCUGACUGACCGAUAGUGAACCAGUACCGUGAGGGAAAGGCGAAAAGAACCCCGGCGAGGGGAGUGAAAAAGAACCUGAAACCGUGUACGUACAAGCAGUGGGAGCCUCUUAAUGGGGUGACUGCGUACCUUUUGUAUAAUGGGUCAGCGACUUAUAUUCUGUAGCAAGGUUAACCGAAUAGGGGAGCCGAAGGGAAACCGAGUCUUAACUGGGCGUUAAGUUGCAGGGUAUAGACCCGAAACCCGGUGAUCUAGCCAUGGGCAGGUUGAAGGUUGGGUAACACUAACUGGAGGACCGAACCGACUAAUGUUGAAAAAUUAGCGGAUGACUUGUGGCUGGGGGUGAAAGGCCAAUCAAACCGGGAGAUAGCUGGUUCUCCCCGAAAGCUAUUUAGGUAGCGCCUCGUGAAUUCAUCUCCGGGGGUAGAGCACUGUUUCGGCAAGGGGGUCAUCCCGACUUACCAACCCGAUGCAAACUGCGA